rnacentral:piRNA from 1 species
UGAGCCAAAAUAAAUCUUUGCUCCUUUCUCGU